AUCCAGAUGACGAGUCCCAAAUAGGACGAAACCCAAGUCCUAGAU
rfam:Schistosoma rodhaini strain Burundi genome assembly, scaffold: SROB_scaffold0000122